AAUUGUGUUAAAGAAGCUUAAUUGGAACAGGCAAUUGUACCUUUCUCUGAAGAUCGGUGAGUUGAUCCAGCAUGUACUGUGUCUGCAAAAGGAGAAUUUUGUUGAGUGCAUUACUACUAGUACUAGUUGAGUGUGUCAACCCUCCCACCACCCCUAUUUUAAUACUAUACGUAAUUUUAAUAAUUUAUAUCUUUAAAUAUUUUGUCUGAAAAUAAAAGGCAAAAAUUUCUUUCAAAAUUUAAAAUCCCAAGCACACGCUACAUUAAUUCCUAUUUUAAUUUUUGACAAAUAAUUUAUAAAUAAAAAUAAUUGAUAUUUAUGCUAUAAACACUGAAUGAAAGGGCCAGUCCACAUUCAAAUCAAGUCCAAACUCUAACUUUGGGCCUCAACAGUCCAAAGGCCCUCGGGGUGGACUAGUAUUUUGCUUUGCAAAAUUAAAAAUCCGUUUUUAAGAGGUGAUGGAGGCAUUUCGGAGGUAUGUCACUUUCAUUUUUAGGGUGUGUGAAUUAAAGUUUGAUUAGUUGAAUACGAGUUCUUCAAUCCUUUUUAUAACAUUCUAUGACUAUGAUUUGUAAGUUAAUAAAAUAACAAGAGAAAUUAAAUUGAUAUUUCCAACCUAAAUGCAGCAAUGUUAAAAAUUACAUUCUGAUUUCUUACUUACGCUCCCAUUCAUAUUCCAAGGUUUUGGAAACCAGGAAAUCAACCAUUGACAUAGGCAGACGAAAGGCAGGAACGUUAGAGAUUAAAAUUGCAUUCUCCUUCUCGUUCCUAUUACAAUUGACUUCUGGUCAAAUAAGUUCUCCUCUCCAUGUCUCCAGAGAUUUCUAACCCUCAUGGAAUUAUGAUCUUUAAAUUACUCUCUAACAUAGGGCCGUAAUUCUAUGUGGAAGAGGUAUGCACAUUAAUACUAAUGCGAGAAAUAUAAAUGCCGAAUAUUUGGAAUUUCAAACAAUAUGAACUUCUAUGUCUAAUACCCUUCUAGCAAUAUAAAUGCUUAUUUCCAAGUAUAAUCCGGGUUAUCCCUAUGGUGGAUGCCAAGAGAUCCCCUAACCUUCAACACUUGGUGAAGUUGAUAUUGUAUGUAGCUGAAGGUAUGACACACAUCUCUGAAUUGUGACUCUUGGUCUGGUUGUUGAUAUGUCUACUUGUGUUACCGCAUCUUAAUGGUGAAGGAGUCGUUAGUGGACUUAACACAUCUUAAUGGUGAAGGAGUCGUUAAUGGACUACACAUCUUAAUGGUGAAGGAGUCGUUAAUGGACUCAACACUUCUUAAUGGUAGAGUUGGUGUGGUGGAGACACAUCAUCUCUGAAUUGUCACUCUCGGUCUAGUUGAUAUGUCUACUUGAGUUAACACAUCUUAAUAGUGGAGUAGGUCUUGGACUUGACACAUCUUAAUGGUGGAGUUGGUGUGAUGGAGUUGGUCUUUCUUUCCCUUUAAAUGGGAUUGACAUUGAAUGUUUUGAUUAAGUGGUUAGAGUUUGAACACUGUUUUGGUUAGAAUAAGUAGGGGCACGAGAUUGUUGCUGGGAAUAUAUAUCCACUCUCCCAUGAUCACCCAGAAACUCCCUCCAAUCCUCUCACCCCCUAUUUUGCUCCAUUAGGCUCCAAUAUCUCUUAUACUUUUGGUCGGACUCUGUAAAAAAACAGUACCCCAAGGAAACCUACAACCCAGUGUCUUAUUUUAACAAAAUCAAUUCACUCUGAAUUUAACCAAACCCUACAAACACAGUAGUUUCGGUGGCUUAUUCACGUGCGUGGUAAACCCAGCCCUAUAAUUCUAGUUCACUGGGGGACAAGGAUGGAAACAAAACAGUAACCUCUCACACGCAAUAGAAAUAAAA
rnacentral:lncRNA from 1 species